rnacentral:rRNA from 1 species
AUUGAACGCUGGCGGCAUGCCUAACACAUGCAAGUCGAGCGGAUGAAGGGGGCUUUCCCCUGGGUUCAGCGGCGGGCGGGGGAGUAAUGCCCAUGAGUCUGCCUGCUAGUGGGGGGUAACGUCCGGCAAAGGGCGCUUAUAUCGCACACGUCAUGUGGGGGAAAGAGGGGGGUCUUUGGAGCCCUCGCUCUCUGAUGAUCCUAGGUCGGAUUAGCUAGUUGGUGGGGUAAAGGCCUACCAAGGCGACGAUCCGUAGCUGGUCUGAGAGGAUGAUCAGUCACACUGGAACUGAGACACGGUCCAGACUCCUACGGGAGGCAGCAGUGGGGAAUUUUGGACAAUGGGCGAAAGCCUGAUCCAGCAAUGCCGCGUGUGUGAAGAAGGUCUUCGGAUUGUAAAGCACUUUUAGUUGGGAGGAAGGGCAGUAAGUUAAUACCUUGCUGUUUUGACGGUACCGGCAGAAUAAGCACCGGCUAACUUCGUG